rnacentral:rRNA from 1 species
GACGAACGCUGGCGGCGUGCUUAAUACAUGCAAGUCGAACGAAAAGGCCCUGCUUUUGUGGUGUUCUCGUGUGCCGAACGUGAGAGUCACACGUGUGUAACCCGCCCUUGACUUUGGGAUAACUUUUGGAGACUGGGGCUAAUACCGGAUAGGAGCUCCUGCAACAGGGUGGUGGAUGGGAAGUUCCGGUAGUGGGGGAUGGACUCGAGGUUUAUGAGCUUGAUGGUGGGGUAGUGGCAUACCAAGCCUUUGACGGCUAGCCGUCAUGGGAGGGUGACCGGCCACAUGGGGACUGCGAUACGGCGCAGACUUCAACGGGAGGCAGUAGUGGGGAAUAUUGCCAAAUGGACGGAAGCCUGAAGCAGCAACGCCGCGUGCGGGAAACCGGGCUUCGGGUUGUAAAACGCUUUCGCCUGUGACGAAGCGUGAGUGACGGUAAUGGGUAAAGAAGCACCGGCUAACUACGUG